UACAGAGGGUGCGAGCGUUAAUCGGAAUUACUGGGCGUAAAGCGCGCGUAGGCGGUUUUGUAAGUCGGAUGUGAAAGCCCCGGGCUUAACCUGGGAACUGCAUUCGAGACUGCAUAACUGGAGUAUUGGAGAGGGCAGUGGAAUUUCCGGUGUAGCGGUGAAAUGCGUAGAUAUCGGAAGGAACAUCAGUGGCGAAAGCGACUGCCUGGCCAAAUACUGACGCUCAUGUGCGAAAGCGUGGGGAGCAAACAGG
rnacentral:rRNA from 1 species